CGCUGGCGGCACGCUUAACACAUGCAAGUCGAACGGUGAAGAGAAGCUUGCUUCUUGGAUCAGCGGCGGACGGGUGAGUAACGCGUGAGUAACCUGCCCUUAGGAGGGGGAUAACACAUCGAAAGGUGUGCUAAUACCGCAUGAUAUAUAUUAGCCGCAUGACUGAUAUAUCAAAGAUUUAUCGCCUAAGGAUGGACUCGCGUCUGAUUAGAUAGUUGGUGGGGUAACGGCUCACCAAGGCGACGAUCAGUAGCCGGUCUGAGAGGAUGAACGGCCACAUUGGGACUGAGACACGGCCCAGACUCCUACGGGAGGCAGCAGUGGGGAAUCUUCCGCAAUGGACGAAAGUCUGACGGAGCAAUGCCGCGUGAGUGAUGAAGGUUUUCGGACCGUAAAGCUCUUUUGUUUAUGACGAAUGUGCAUGAUGUGAACAAUGUUGUGUAAUGACGGUAGUAAACGAAUAAGCCACGGCUAACUACGUG
rnacentral:rRNA from 1 species